rnacentral:rRNA from 1 species
CAUGCAAGUCGAACGGAAAGGCCCUUCGGGGUACUCGAGUGGCGAACGGGUGAGUAACACGUGGGUGAUCUGCCCUGCACUUUGGGAUAAGCCUGGGAAACUGGGUCUAAUACCGGAUAGGACCACGGCAUGCAUGUGCUGUGGUGGAAAGCUUUUGCGGUGUGGGAUGGGCCCGCGGCCUAUCAGCUUGUUGGUGAGGUUACGGCUCACCAAGGCGACGACGGGUAGCCGGCCUGAGAGGGUGUCCGGCCACACUGGGACUGAGAUACGGCCCAGACUCCUACGGGAGGCAGCAGUGGGGAAUAUUGCACAAUGGGCGCAAGCCUGAUGCAGCGACGCCGCGUGAGGGAUGACGGCCUUCGGGUUGUAAACCUCUUUCGCCAGGGACGAAGCGCAAGUGACGGUACCUGGAGAAGAAGCACCGGCCAACUACGUGCCAGCAGCCGCGGUAAUACGUAGGGUGCGAGCGUUGUCCGGAAUUACUGGGCGUAAAGAGCUCGUAGGUGGUUUGUCGCGUUGUUCGUGAAAACUCACA